CAGAGAGGCGCAGCCACUUACUGUAGCAGUUAUACUACAGUUUUUUCCAAUUGCUAACACACUAAAAUGACAUGCACAGCACAAUUAUUUAAACUGACACACAGAGAGCAAAACCUCUUCUCAAGUCUCCAAAAGUCUAAACACAUUUUCUGCUUUAUACACAUUUUGAAAUUCAAAAUGGCACUUUUUAAAUGCAAUGCACACAGUUCUCUGCAUAAGACACAACAAUCUGACAUAAAGUCACAUGUUUGCCAUUUCAAAACACUGCCAUUCAAAAUGACACUACAUGAGCUAAUUGGCCAAUACAUGUGCCACCUGGCCAAACACCCCAAUGGUUAAUUGUUACCACUUCAAUCAGGAAGUAAGCACUAUGAAAAGACCACAGGUGAGCACCUUUUGUUUUACAACAACAAUGGAAGCCAUUGCAGAGAGAGGAAGAGGGGGGGUGAGAAUGAGAAGGGGAGGAAGAGUGAGAGGUAGGGGUAGAGCUGGUAGAGGAGUGCAUGGCCAAAGAAAACAACAACUUUCAAAUGAAAUCAGAGCAACCUUAGUUGAUCAUGUCAUCAACCAUGGGCUGACAAUGCGAGAGGCUGGACAGAGAGUGCAGCCCAACUUGAGACGUUUUACUGUCGCCUGUGUCAUCCGGACAUUUAGACUGGGUUACAGGUAUGUAACAAAAAUUUAUUUCACACUAUGUAGUACACCCCAUGUCAUAGUGUAUCAGUUGGGUGACACCCGUUUACUUCAUGAAUGGCUGAUGUCAUACACUAACUGCACAAAUUUCCUGUAGAAUUUACUCUACUGUGGGGGAUAUAUCUUUAGGCUGCAUUGUCCAAGCCCUAUAUUUUAGUUUUUUGGUUUUUCUAAAGGACUGAGAGACGCAACCAUGGUGGAGGAAGGGGCCAAAUGUUCACCGGGGUACAGGAAGCUGCCAUUGUAAACUUGGUUUUGGAAAAUAAUGAAAUCAGAUUACGAGAAAUUCAAAGCCACAUCAUCCAAGACAACACCAUAUUCAACAACAUUCAACGAGUCAGUCUGUCCACAUUGGCUCGCAUUCUCAAACGAAACCAAAUCAGAAUGAAACAACUUUAUAAGGUGUCGUUUGAGAGAAACUCUCAAAGAAACAAAAGGGUCAGACGAGCAUAUGUGGAUGGAGUACUGGAAAUGGAUGCUCAUGCAAUCCCACAUGAGUUCAUCUUUAUAGAUGAGGCUGGGUUCAACCUAGCAAAGACCAGAAGAAGGGAGAGACGUCAUUGGCCACAGAGCCAUUAUAGAUGUUCCUGGCCAACGUGGUGGGAACAUCACAAUGUGCGCUGCCAUCUCCAAUACGCAUGGUGUCCUCCACCGUCAUGCCAACCUUGGACCAUACAACACAGCCCAUAUUCUCACAUUUCUGGACAUACUCCACAACAUUCUCAUACCACCAGAGCGUAUGAAUGAUGCAGACCAUCAAAGAACCCGGUACGUUGUAGUAUGGGACAACGUGAGCUUUCGUCGUGCAGCCCCAGUCCAAAACUGGUUUGCUGACCACCCACCAUUUCUCGUGUAAUACCUCCCACCAUACUCACCAUUUCUGAACCCCAUAGAAGAGUUAUUUUCGGCAUGGCGGUGGAAGGUAUACGACCGGCAGCCCUUUGUGCGCAUGCCUCUUGUGCAGGCUAUGGAAGAGGCAUGUGAUGAGAUUGAUGUGGGUGCGAUUCAGGGAUGGAUAAGGCACUCAAGGCGCUUCUUCCCUCGAUGUCUGGCAAGGGAAGAUAUUGCCUGUGAUGUGGACGAGGCGUUGUGGCCAGACCCAGCUGUGCGGCAAGAUGCUGCCUAAUUAUUUUUCUUGCCUCUUUUUUUCUAUAUAUUUUUUCUGCAAUUUUCUUUUUCAGUUUACAGUUUUUUUGUGAGCAUAUUUUUGUUUAGUCCAAUGUAAAUAUAUCUGCUGUGCAUAUGUUUUGCACGGACUUGUUUGGUGAAAAAUAAAAAAAUAAAAUGUUUCAACAGCA